GGACAUUGUGGACACCUGUUGACCACAGUUCAGGCCAGGUGCCAGGGACCCUCCCUGCACGGCCAGCCUGUUCCCUAGCCGCUGCUCAUCCCACUCCAUAUGUGUCCGUGCUGUGGGACGGGAAGCCGCCUCAGCUCGCCAUGUCCCCACAGCCAGCGGCCGCCCUGGAGCUGGAGGCGCUGCGCCUGAGCCUGAGCAACAUGCACGUGGCACGGCUGGAGCUGGCACAGGCGCAUCUGCAGCGGGAGAAGGACAGCGCGCUGACCGAGCUGCGGGACAUGCUCAACGGCCGGCACGCCCAGGAGCUGGCCCUGCUGCACAGCAGGCAGCAGCUGCAGCUGGAGGAGCUGGCACGGCGCUACCACCAGGAGACAGCUGAGCUGAAGGAGAAGUUACAAUCAGAAACGGAGAAAAAUGCCCAGAUAACAGAGACCCUGAAGCGAGACUGGGAAUCCGAGAGAGAUUUAUGUUUAGAGAACCUACGCCAAGAGUUAUCUGCAAAGCACCAGGCAGAACUGGAGAAUUUACGGAGCCAUUUUAAGAGGGAAUCAGCAGAACUCAGAGCUGGGCUGGAGAAGAUGUCUCAAGCCAAACGUCAGGCUGAACUGUCCCUCCAGAGUCUGCAGGCGCAGCAGAAGGCCACCGUGGAGAGACAGCAGGAGGACCUGGGGUCCCAGUACUGCCGGCGCGCAGAGGACCCAGAGCUGGCGAAGGGGCAGCUGCAGAACCUUCAGGCAUCACAGGAAGAUCUAAAGGCUGAGUCACAAGAGGGACCCUGGCGCCUGUGGUCCCAGCUUGAGUGCACGAGGACCGACGAGCAGGAGCUGAGCGAGCUGCACGAGUGGCCGCUGGCCCGAGCCCCUGGCCUGGAGGACUUGCCGCCGCCGCAGCAGCAGCAGAGCGAGCGCAACUCCCGGCCGGAGCAGCUCCUGCUGUGUUCUGACAAGAGUCGCCAGGAGGGCCUGACGCAGUCACAGCAGCGGCUGCAGGAGGUGAGGGAGGACACUCUUCUGGAGUCUGAGGAAAUCAGUGCACCUGGCGUGGGGUUAGAAGAGACGUCUGAAAAUGAAGGGAGAGACCGCCUCCAUCUGCUCAGCCUGCAGCAAGAGCCGCGUGAGGCCAGCCUGCGAGUGCACACACAGGUGGAUGAGAGCCGCCAACGCCAAGGGGAAGCCCAGCAGGAGGCAGAAGUCACAGAGACCCAGGUGUUGGAGCAGCGGGCGGGGCCCUUGGAAAGGCCGGGCCAAGAGCUCACUCGCGUGCCUCUCCAGGUUGCGCAGGACAUGGCCGAGGAAGUGGAGACGGCCGUGGUGGCCAGAGUGCUGGGUUUGGAAGCCGAGCACAAGGUCAGACUCUCGCUGCAGAUGGAACUCAAGGAAGAGAUCGAUCUGCUAAACGUGGAAAAGAGAGAUUUACUCGAGAAGCUGCAGCAGGAAAUCCGCCUGAAUGAAGAUUUGGAGAAAGCAAAACAUGACUUAGCUGAAUGUCACCAGGAAGAACUGAGGAAGGCUAAUGAGCAGAUUCAGCUAAUGAAACAAGAAUUCAGAGAGAGAGAAGCAGAAUGGAAGGUCACCAGUGAGGCCCGAAAGAGAGAAGCGGAAGAGCAGCUGACACGGAUGCUCCUGGACCUGACCCAGCAGGCGGCGGCAGGCAGACAGUCACUGCUCAGUGAGUUUGAGCUCCGAGAAACUGAGAUGAGGCAACUGCAUGACCAGCAGGAGGCCCAGAUCCGGGACCUGGAGGCAUCACUGCUAGAGCAGCAGGGCCGCCUACGGCAGCUGGAGCUGGGGCUCGCGGAGGACGAGUGUCCGCAGUGCAGCAAGUGUGGCCGGGAGCCGGGCCAGGCCUGGGAGCUGGCUGCUGUCCGCCUGAAGGAGGACUGUGCCCUCCAGCUGACGCUGGCUCAGAACAGGCUUUUAGAGCAACGUAGAGAAAUCACCGAGAAAUUCACUGCUGAACGAGGCGCUUUGCUACGGGAGGCCCAGGAGAGGCACGCCCGUGAGCUACGGCUCCUCCAAGACAGACACCGGCAGCACCUCGUGUCUCUGACUGCAGAGCUGCAGGCCCGGCAUCAGGCUGACACCGCGGAGCUGCGGGCUGCGCUUGAGAGGCAGCACUACACCCUUUCGGGAGAGCGAGCGGCCGAGUCGCAGGAGGAACGUGCUGUGGAAGUCCGCGCUCUGGAGGCGAUGCACCAGUCAGACCUGGAGUCAGCGGAGGCGAGGCACCGGUGUGAACUAGAGGCCCUUCGCAGUGAGCACAGGCGGGCCCUGGAGCUGCUGCAAGCUGGCCGUGAGGGACAGCUGCACAGCCACCUGUCUCCUGAGCAUGCGGCUUCGACUCCAGAGUUCGAGGGACUUGAGCGGGAACGUGACACCGAGCUUCAGUCUGCAGAGGCCUGCCAGGGCGCUGAGCCGGGCGCCGAGUGCCCCGAGAGUGUGAGGGUCCCUGCAGCCAGGCCUGGCGGGGCUCAGCAGGGUGAAUCUGACCGUGAAAAGAAAGCUGCUUUGUGUGACCGAACGGACAUGUAUCGACUGGCGUGUGAGCAGCCCCUCCACCAACGGGAGAUGGAGGCUCUGCGUCUGCAGCUUCAGGAGAGGGAGGACCAGGUGCUGCAGCUGAAGGACCGGGUUUUAUCCUUAAGCCACGAGCUGGAGGAGUUACAGCAGAGACGCUCCCGGGAGAACCAGGAGGGUGCAAACCUCAUCGCAAUGCUCCAGUCUGACACGGCGCUGUCUGCCAGCCAGAGGACAGCUCUCCAGGACGCCCUGCGGAGGCUGUUGGGCUUGUUUGGGGAGAUGCUGAAGGCUGCCAGCGCCCUGAAGAGCCGGAUCAGCGAGCGCGUGGGCCUCGGCCUGACCCCGUCUGCCGUGCCAGCCCUGGAGGAGACGUGGCCUGGCUGUGACGGGGCCGUGCCGGAGCUUGACGGGACUCUGCCUGAGAGCACGGAGAUGUCUUCGGAGGCUGAGAUCAGCAGCCACCUGUGUGAGAGCUUCUUCCUGAGCCCAGAAAGCACGCUGGAGUGGGAGCAGCCUGUCCGGAGGAUCUACCAGAGCCUCGCCCUGGCGGUGGACAGCCUCCUGGAGAUGGUUCUGGACUCCAGCAGGCAGCUGGAGGAAGUACGUCAAAUUCACGAUCAUUUUGGGAAAGAAUUUAGCUGCAGGAGUGAGGAGAUGGCACAGGUUGGGAGAAAACACCAGGAAUUACUGGAGCGCCUGGAGGAGGAGAACACAGCGCAGACGCGGCUGACGCUGGAGCUGUACAAGGCAGAGGGCAUCAUCGAGGGGUUCAAGGUGGAGAAGGCCAGCCUGCAGGAGGCACUGGGCCAGAAGGAGGAGGCUGAGCGGGGCCUCGUGGUCGAGCUGGAGAGCCUGAGCCAGCAGCUGCAGCAGGGGACCCAGCAGCUGGCAGAGCUGAGGGACAAGAAUGCUGUCCUGCUGUGCGAGAAGGAGGCGGCCGCUGCUGAAGCCCAGGAGCGGGAAGCCGCUCUUCGGAGAGAAGUGGAGGACGUCACCAGGGAGCAGGCGGAGAGCCGGAAGCAGGCCGAGCAAGACCACCGUACCCUGCGUGCCCAGACGGAGGCGCUAGAGGCUGAGUUGCAGGAGCAGCUGUUGCAGCACCAGGCGUGUGCCAAGCAGGCAGCGGAGCUGUGCGCGCUGCGGCAGCAGCUGGAGGGUCUGGACAAGCAGCUGCGCAGCCAGCGACACUUCAUGGAUGAGCAGGCCGUGGAGAGAGAGCAGGAGCGUGAGGAGUUCCAGCAGGAGAUCCAGAGGCUGGAGGAACAGCUGCGGCAGGUGGCCAGGCCACGGCCCCGGGGCACCCCUGACGGCGAUCGGGCGCAGCGGGAUGAGCAGGUUGAAUUGUUACAGGAAAAAUUGAGAGAAAAAUCAGAUGAACUUGGCGAAUUGGUUAUAAAGAAAGAAUUAGCAGACAGACAGGUGUUGAUCCAAGAGGAGGAAAUUAAGCAUCUCGAAGAGAUAAAUGCCAGCACCACAAGGAAGGUGACUCAGCUCCAGGAGGAGCUGGAGAAACUGAGGCAAGCCAUGCGAGAGCUGCAGCAGGACAAGGAGGUCUUCCAGGAGCAGCAGCUGAGUACCUUGCUUUCGGUGUCCACGCGGCAGGCUAGACAAGACGAAGGCAGACGCCCCUGGCCUCCUGUGGGCCACUGUCCUGAGGGCCCAGAAGUCCAGUUAGAGGCCGUGCAGAGGGCGCACCUGCCACAGGACAGCAAGGCAUGUCUGCAGAACGGGGAGAAUGAGAUAAUGUGUGUGAGCGAGCAGUUCGAGGCACAGCGGGCUGGGAUGGGAAGUGGCACUGUUGGCGUCGGCGAGGCUAUGCCUAGCACCAGUUCAGAAGUCAAGGAGCUGAAAUCCAUUAUCGAGACUCUGCAGGAGAACCAGGAGCGGCUGCAGGAGGAGAAAGCCGAGGAAAUCGAGCGACUGCAUGAGGUCAUCGAGAGGCUGCAGAGGGAGCUGUCCCUCUGCGGGCCCGCGGAGCGGGAGCGCGGUCCUGGCCCGUCCCAGGACCUCCAGAGUGAGCUGGAAUGCGAGCUGUUGUGCCCGCAGAGGGGCGGACCUGAGACCCAGGCCGCGCUGCAGGCCGAACUGCAUGCUGCGCUUGCGUCCAGGGAGGCCCUGAGCGGGCUGCUGGCGGAUCAGGAACACCGGCACGGCCAGGCCCUGGAGGCCCUGCAGCAGCGCCUGCGCAGCGUGGAGGAGGCUGCCGCAAGGCAGCUGGCCCAGCCGGAGCCCGGUGCGGCCUCCCACAUCCGAGAGCUUGAGGCCGCCCUGAAAGCAAAGGACUGGGCGGUUGCCCAGAGGGAUUUGGAAAUCGAGGCUCUGCACAGACGAACAUCGGCCUACUGCGCCGAGCUGCAGGCCAUGCGGUCGGCUGUUGCCUGCAUCCGCCGCUCGCUGGAACAGCAGCACCCAGGCUCCGCGCACGAGCCCCCUGAGCUGCAGCGGCUCCGAGCUCAGUGCGUACACCUCAGCCGCCAGUUGCAGGCGCUGAAUCUGCACUUCCAGAAGUGCCAGAAAGAGCUGGACAAGCAGCAGGCGUGCCGGGCUCCCGCCCCCUCCCCUGGGGAGGGUAGUGCCCAGCGACUGGUGUCCGGGGGUGACGAGGCCUUCUGUGAGGAAGAGCUGGAACGUGACGUGGGCAGCAGGCAGCUGACCGAGGCCUCCCACGGCCAUGACCGUGGCCCACAGAGCCCAGGGAAGGGUGAGGUGCAGCCUGCCAAAGCCCUGGUGACAUUGAACCAUGCAGGUCUCCACCACCACGACAGCGUGACGUCGGUGCUUGCUGUCUGCCAGAGGCAGUUGGAGUCUGAGCUGCUCCUGGUGAAAAAUGAAAUGCGCUUGAGUGCAGAGGCGCGUGGCAAGGAUAAGGAGAAACUGCUGGAAGAUUGUAAGCUGCGGAAAGUUGAUCUGAUAACUCAGGUGAAACAACUUCAAGAAAAACUGAACCGUCUGGUAUAUUCUAUGAACUUCCAGAACAUUGAGACAGAGGAUUUCAAAUCUCAACAGCCAUUGGCAUUUUCUGAUGUUUCUGAAAACAGUUUGAGUGAUAGUUGCAAUAAUGGUGAAGAAACUGACAAAUUGCCUCCUGUGGAAGCAUUUACUAUCAAUAAAACCACAUGGGAUUUAGUUGACGUUAUUGGAAAUCAGGAUUCAUGGAUAAGAAAUGCAAAGCCAAAUGUCCCCAUGGGAGAGAAGGUAGAUUUGCAGGAUGGGUCACUCGGGAGCUUGCACAGUAGCUGCAGUGACCUGACCCCCAGCGAGGGGGCCGAGCCCUUGAAGAGCGCACUCAGCACCGUGGACGUGUCCUGGAGCUCCCCCGAGGCGGUCAGGAGGGACUCGACCCUCGAGCCGCUGCCCAGCCUGCCCGUGACGCCCUGCUUGGACGCCUCCCUGAGCGACAGGACAGGCACCUCGCUGCUCCAGGCUGACCAGCAGGGGCUGCUUUGCUCCCCGGGCGAGUCAGCCGCAGCAAAGGCCCCUUGCUGGGCUGAGUCCCCGUCAGCUGCGGACAGGGCUCCCUCUGCUGACCCCCAUGUGCGGCGGACGGCUGUGGAGAAAGAUGUUGAGGAAUUUAUCACGUCUCUUGAUUCUCAAGAGAAGUCAAGAUCGCCCCCUCUUGGGCUAGAAGGAAAAGGCGAUGAAAGUGAAAAAGGUGAUGGCGAUGGAGUAGAGACACUUACCCAGAGCCCAGAAGGACAGGACGCCCCCACUGCUAGUCCAGCAGCGCCCCCUCCCACCUCGUGGAGUUUCCAACGGCCGCUGGAAGCCAUGAAGGAGAAGGUGGUCCCUUCGAAGCACGUGGAGGCUUUGCUGCAGAUGGUGUGUGACGAGAGUCGCCACAUCCUGGCCCUGUCUGAAUACCACGGACCCCCCAGCGCUCUGGGCAAGGGCGAGCCAAGUACCCCCCUCGAGGGCUUCCCGUGGGGGGGCCAAGGCCUGUUGGAGGCAUUGUCAACACCCCAAAAGGGAGAGAAGGAACCUUUCGGCACGAGCCUUGACUGGAGAGGAGAGCUCCUGCAGGUUGUCCAGGAAGCCUUUGCAAAGGAGCAGGACAUGCUGCCGGCGGCACUGCAGCCCCGAGGGUACGGCUGUGGCCCCAUAGCCCUCCUGUCGCAGCGGCUGGAGCAGGAGGCCCUGCAGGAGAAGUCCCCGGAGCGCCUGCAUCUGUCCGAGAGGAGCAGCUUGCUGUCCGAGAUCCAGGCCCUGCGAGCCCAGCUGCGGCUGACGCACCUGCAGAACCAGGAGAAACUGCAGCAGCUGUGCGCGGCGCUGACCAGUGCGGAGGCCCGUGGGAGCCAGCGGGAACACCAGCUGCGCAGGCAGGUUGAGUUACUGGCAUACAAAGUUGAGCAGGAAAAAUGUAUAGCGAGCGAUCUCCAGAAAACACUCAGCGAAGAGCAGGAGAAAGCCAGUGAUGUCCGGCAGCUGCUGCUGGUGGAAGAGAACACAGUCCGAGCUCUGAAGUCGGAGCUCUGCGAGUGCAAGCAGGACAAUGAGAGGCUCCUGGAGUCCCUGAGCGACGUGCAGCGGGAGGUCCUGCAGCUGAGGUCCAUGCUGGAUGGCAAGGAGGAGGACUUGAGGGCCGCGCGGCAGGAGCUCGAGAGCGCUCGUGGGGAGGAGCGGGCCCUGCAGGGCCGGCUGGAGCAGGAGCGGCUGCAGCGCCUUCGCACAGAGGCCCAGAACGCCCAAGCCCUGGGGGAGCUGAGAGUGUCUUUGGAGAAGCAGUGUGCUCAGAACAAUCAGCUGUGUGUCGCAUUGAAACACGAGCAGACGGCAAAGGACAACCUCCAGCGGGAGCUGCAGAUCGAGGCCUCGCGGUGCGAGGCGCUACUGGCCCAAGAGCGCGGCCGGCUAACCGAGCUGCGCAGGCGCCUGGAGGCCGAGCAGGGCCGCACGCAGGAGCUGUCCAAGGCCUUGCAGCACGAGCGCCUCCUGACCGAGCGGCUCAGCCGGAGGUCACAGGUGCCACCAGGGCAGCACACCGUGCCGCGCAAGCUGAAGGAUGAGCGGGCCCGCGUGGCAGAGCUGCAGGCCACCCCACUGCAGCCGGAGGCUGAGGCACAGGGGCACUGCCCGGAGCUCGAGAGGGACAAGGAGGUAAGUGCCACGCCAAGGGCUGCCGUGCAGGCCCUACAGACCCCCAGGCCAGAGCUGAGCUGCGAUCAGGAGACAGAGGGGGAAACGCCCGCGUGGCCACAGGCACAGGUAGAGCAGUUACACACGAGGCUGGCAGAGCAAGGACACCAGGACACGCAGAGGAGAGCGGGGACAAGGCAGAGCCGGGCAGACGUGGACAAGUGGAGGAAGUGGCAGAGAGACAAGGAGAAACUGCGAGAGCUGGAGUUGCGACGCCAGCGACAGGAGCACAAGAUUCAGCAGCUGGAGCGUGCGGCGCGCCGGUCCCCAGAGGCUGGGCGUCUGCAGGAGCAGCAGCAGGGCCUGGAGAAGAUUCGGCAGCAGCUGCUGGGCGCAGCCGGGCUGCUGACCAGCUUCAUCAACCAGACUGUGGACAGGACAAUUAAUGACUGGACAUCAUCAAACGAGAAAGCGGUAACGUCUUUACUGCGGACGUUAGAGGAGCUCAAGUGCGAGCUGAGCCCGUCCAGCUGCUCCCAGAAAAACAUGACAACACAGCGACAGGAGCAGCUCGUGGGUGUCUUGCUGAGGGACAAUGACUCUCUCAGGAAGGCCCUUGGCGCCGUGACGCGGGAGAAGGCGGGGCUGUGCCGAGCUGCGACCCGGCUGGAGAGGACACUGGCCCAGCACCUGCUGAAGGGCUGCACGCUCAGCAGGUCGGACAGGUCGGCCGGGAAGCGGGACAAGAAGGUUCUGCAGGGCUCACCGGGACUCCCAGACCCAGCGCGGUCCGCGCCGGCCGCCAGGGAGGAGGCGGAUGCCAGCACCGUCAAGAUGGAAAAAUUGUACUUGCGUUAUUUGAGAGCAGAGAGCUUUAGAAAAGCUUUGAUUUAUCAAAAGAAGUAUCUUCUACUGUUGAUUGGUGGGUUCCAGGACUCGGAACAGGAAACACUCUCCAUGAUUGCUCAUCUAGGAGUGUUUCCAUCCAAAGCAGACAAGAAAAUUGCCCCACCCCGUCCUUUUACCAAGUUCCGGACGGCUGUCAGGGUGGUGAUUGCGAUAUCCAGAUUACGAUUUUUGGUUAGGAAAUGGCAAGAAGUAGAUCGGAAAGGAGCUCUGAUGCAUGGACAGGUGCCCCGCCCAGGAUUCCCGGUGCCACAGCAACAGCACUCUCCACCCGAAACCAGUGGAUCCCCGCCAACCCGGGACGAUUCCUCCAGCCACACCCGGGACCCUGUGCCAAAAGCCUCCCCACGCCGGAGCGAAAGAUCCAGUCCAUCCCCAAAUUCAAGAUCAGAAAGACCCCGGACUGCAUCGGAAGAUCCAGAACGUUCCUUGACGGAAUAUAUUCACCACUUAGAAAUGAUCCAGCAGAGACUGGGGGGGAUGCCGCCAGAUCCCACUUCCAAGAAAUUCUGCCGCCAGAAGACUAAACAGUGAAUAAAAUCCCCCUGGCUCUCACCUGUGAUGGUUGUGUCUGAGGACAAGAUUUGUUCUUCCUUUGUCUAUGGAAAGCUGUGGCCGCCGUACUGAGCGGUGCCCAGUGUCCUCAUGCGCCCGAGACACCAGCCCCCGCGUGCCACGACUGACAUGUUCUCACAGUGGUGCAUCGCUGCAAAGCCAGGCGGAGUGUUUCCUGUGUAAUCUCAGUACCUGUCAGCUCAUUACCGUCAUGGCUGACGGGCACAGUGCAUGUGGGCAGAGCCACCUGCCUGCCUCCAAGAAGGGUCGGUAAGGCUCCCUUGGCUGCCACCCAGACCUUGCUGGCCAGUAUAAUUGCGACCCUCUGACCUGUCAGUUCAGUGCCGCCUCCCGGCCUCGUUUGUCUUCGGACCGACCGUGUCAUCCCCAUUGCUGUCACCCAGCCAAGUUAUGGAGCAGUCUUUCCUACCGUUAGCUCUUGCCUAGAGGUGAGCCACCACUGAACAUUCUCGUGACAUCAGUGCCCCUUUCUCCAGCCUAUCUCUUUGGACUUUUUAAAUGUGUUCUUUAUGCCUUUAUGUGAAGUACAACCACCAGUGGAUCUUCAGGAAGCACGAAUAUGUAAAUCUCAGCACACUUACACCCCCGAGCCUUUUACUUCCUUACACAAGUCCACCACAGCGAUUCUGUCAUUUCAGCUUUCCUUACUGAGGGCCAUAGAUUUUUCCACGUGUAGUGUUCUGAAAAUACAGCUGCAAAUUCUUUGAUCCUCUUACCUUUAGAAGAUGGAGUCUACUCCCCCUCCCCUUGAAUACAGGUGAGAUUUAGUGACUCACUACAAAUAGACAGGAAGUGGCCAAAGGCUAGUUCACAAAAAAGGCUGUGGCCUUCCUUUGUCUUUGGACAAUUGCCUUUGGAAACCAGCCAUCAUAUUGUGUCAAAGCCCAGGCCACAAGGAGUGGCCAAAUGUGGGUGUGCUGGCUAACAUCCCCUAUCUGGGCUCCAGCACGAACUGUCAGACAUGUGAGUAAAUGAACUUUCAAAUCACUCCAACUUCCAGCCUUCAAGCUGCUCCAGUGGGCGCCCCAGAUGCUGUGGAACAGAGAUGAGGCCUCCCCACUGUGCCCACAGUAACCUAGAGAGAUGAUACAGGCAUCCCUUGGAGAUACGAUGGGGGUGGUUCCAGACCACCGCAAUAAAGCGAGAGUCACAAUAAAGUGAGUCGCGAUCUUUUUGUUGGUAGAGGGUCUUGCCUUCAAUUU